rnacentral:ncRNA from 1 species
AAGCUGAUCUAGUUUGACUUUGGUCCCCUUAGAUUUUAGCAAUUCAUGUAGCACUUGAAGAUAGAGCUGUUGCUAAUGUGAGUCUGCCUGUCCCAUGUUUUACAUCUAGGGAACCACUCACCUUCCCCCUUUGUGUGCACUAAUGGAAGUGUCUCCUCACCUGAGUUCCAAAGUUGUGGCCCGCGCAGCAUAGGGUCCGAAGCCAGGGAGAGUGGUGGAAGAUGAAGAAAAGAUGGUGAGGGGCUCUCACCUCUGGAGCCAAGUGCCUGACCGUGGGGUGACCGUGUGGGCAUGACCCUCUCCAGGGACAGUGCCAGGUGGGGAGUUUGGGGCAGUACACCUGUCAAACAGUAACACAGGUGUCCUAAGUCAAGCUCAGGGAGGACAGAAACCUCCUGUGGAGCAGAAGGGCAAAAGCUUGCUUGAUCUUGAUUUUCAGUACGAAUACAGACCAUGAAAGCCAGGCCUCACAUUCUUUCUGACCUUUUGGGUUUUAAGCAGGAGGUGUCAGAAAAGUUACU